rnacentral:lncRNA from 1 species
GGAAAGAAAACCAAGCACACAGCUAACAUUUCAUCAGAGAAUGAAGAGGAGUAGACUGUGGAGAAGGUGCUAGACAGGCAUGUGGUUAAGUGGCAAGUGGAGUAUCUGCUGAAGUGGAAAGGCUUUUCUGAGGAGCACAAUACUUGGGAAUCUGAGAAAAACUUGGAUUGCCUUUAGCUCAUUUCUUAGUUUACAAAAAAGUUUAAGAUGAUGAAGGAGGGUUAAAAUAACAAGCCUGGGGAGAAGUCAAAAAGUAGCAAAGAAAUCCAAUUUCUCAAACUGUGCUGACAGUAUCAAGUCCAAAAAAGAGAACAGAGUGAUGAUAUUGCUUGGGGCUUCGAGAUAAGACUAGAACCAGAAAAGAUCAUUGGGGCAACAGAUUCCUGUGGCAAUUUAUGUUUUUAAUGAAAUGGAAAGACAGAUGAAGCAGACCUGGUUCUUGCAAAAGAAGCUAAUGUGAACUGUCUACAAAUUAUGACAGCAUUUUAUGAAGAGAGACUGAUGUUGCAUGCGUACCUUGAGGAUACAGAAACCAAAGAGGAAAAAACAGCAAAGGGCUAA